rnacentral:rRNA from 1 species
GGAUUAGUGGCGAACGGGUGAGUAACACGUGAGUAACCUGCCCUUGACUCUGGGAUAAGCCUGGGAAACUAGGUCUAAUACCGGAUAUGAGCGUCCACCGCAUGGUGGGUGCUGGAAAGAUUUAUCGGUCAUGGAUGGACUCGCGGCCUAUCAGCUUGUUGGUGAGGUAAUGGCUCACCAAGGCGACGACGGGUAGCCGGCCUGAGAGGGUGACCGGCCACACUGGGACUGAGACACGGCCCAGACUCCUACGGGAGGCAGCAGUGGGGAAUAUUGCACAAUGGGCGAAAGCCUGAUGCAGCGACGCCGCGUGAGGGAUGACGGCCUUCGGGUUGUAAACCUCUUUCAGUAGGGAAGAAGCGAAAGUGACGGUACCUGCAGAAGAAGCACCGGCUAACUACGUGCCAGCAGCCGCGGUAAUACGUAGGGUGCGAGCGUUAUCCGGAAUUAUUGGGCGUAAAGAGCUCGUAGGCGGUUUGUCGCGUCUGUCGUGAAAGUCCGGGGCUUAACCCCGGAUCUGCGGUGGGUACGGGCAGACUAGAGUGCAGUAGGGGAGACUGGAAUUCCUGGUGUAGCGGUGGAAUGCGCAGAUAUCAGGAGGAACACCGAUGGCGAAGGCAGGUCUCUGGGCUGUAACUGACGCUGAGGAGCGAAAGCAUGGGGAGCGAACAGGAUUAGAUACCCUGGUAGUCCAUGCCGUAAACGUUGGGCACUAGGUGUGGGGACCAUUCCACGGUUUCCGCGCCGCAGCUAACGCAUUAAGUGCCCCGCCUGGGGAGUACGGCCGCAAGGCUAAAACUCAAAGGAAUUGACGGGGGCCCGCACAAGCGGCGGAGCAUGCGGAUUAAUUCGAUGCAACGCGAAGAACCUUACCAAGGCUUGACAUGUUCUCGACCGCCGUAGAAGAUACGGUUUCCCCUUUGGGGCGGGUUCACAGGUGGGUGCAUGGGUUGUCGUCAGCCUCGUGUCGUGAGAAUGUUGGGGUUAAGUCCCGCAACGAGCGCAACCCUUCGUUCCAUGUUGCCAGCCACGUAAUUGGUGGGGGACUCCAUGGGGAAAAUUGCCCGGGGUCAACUCCGGAAGGAAAGGUGGGGGACGAACGUCA